CAGUCGCCGCGGUAAUACGAAGGGUGCAAGCGUUACUCGGAGUUACUGGGCGUAAAGCGUGCGUAGGUGGUGGUUUAAGUCCGUUGUGAAAGCCCUGGGCUCAACCUGGGAAUUGCAGUGGAUACUGGGUCACUAGAGUGUGGUAGAGGAUAGUGGAAUUUCCGGUGUAGCAGUGAAAUGCGUAGAGAUCGGGAGGAACAUCUGUGGCGAAGGCGACUAUCUGGGCCAACACUGACACUGAGGCACGAAAGCGUGGGGAGCAAACAGGAUUAGAUACCCCAGUAGUUCCUGUCUCUUAUAC
rnacentral:rRNA from 1 species